UUGGAGGGCAAGUCUGGUGCCAGCAGCCGCGGUAAUUCCAGCUCCAAUAGCGUAUAUUAAAGUUGUUGCAGUUAAAAAGCUCGUAGUUGAAUUUCGGGACUAAUAUGUCGGUCGUACUUUGUACGUACUAGCAUUAUUGGUUUCUCCCUUCUGACGAACCACGAUGUCAUUAAUUUGGUGUCAUGGGAAAUUAGGACUGUUACUUUGAAAAAAUUAGAGUGUUUAAAGCAAGCUCGCGCUUGAAUACAUUAGCAUGGAAUAAUGAAAUAGGACGUUUGAUUCUAUUUUGUUGGUUUCUAGGAUCGACGUAAUGAUUAAUAGGGAUAGUUGGGGGCAUUAGUAUUCAAUUGUCAGAGGUGAAAUUCUUGGAUUUAUUGAAGACUAACUACUGCGAAAGCAUUUGCCAAGGAUGUUUUCAUUAAUCAAGAACGAAAGUUAGGGGAUCGAAGACGAUCAGAUACCGUCGUAGUCUUAACCAUAAACUAUGCCGACUAGGGAUCGGAUGAUGUUAAUUUUUUAAUGACUCAUUCGGCGCCUUACGGGAAAC
rnacentral:rRNA from 1 species